AGCAGCCGCGGUAAUUCCAGCUCCAAUAGCGUAUAUUAAAGUUGUUGCAGUUAAAAAGCUCGUAGUUGAAUUUCGAGAUCAAAUUGUUGGUCGUGCCUUGGUACGCACUGGCAUUAUUGGUUUCUCCCUUCUGACGAACCAUGAUGUCAUUAAUUUGGUGUCUUGGGGAAUCAGGACUGUUACUUUGAAAAAAUUAGAGUGUUUAAAGCAGGCUCACGCUUGAAUACAUUAGCAUGGAAUAAUGAAAUAGGACGUUUGAUUCUAUUUUGUUGGUUUCUAGGAUCGACGUAAUGAUUAAUAGGGAUAGUUGGGGGCAUUAGUAUUCAAUUGUCAGAGGUGAAAUUCUUGGAUUUAUUGAAGACUAACCACUGCGAAAGCAUUUGCCAAGGAUGUUUUCAUUAAUCAAGAACGAAAGUUAGGGGAUCGAAGACGAUCAGAUACCGUCGUAGUCUUAACCAUAAACUAUGCCGACUAGGGAUCGGAUGAUGUUAAUUUUUUAAUGACUCAUUCGGCGCCUUAC
rnacentral:misc_RNA from 1 species